UUCGCUUCUUCCUCUCUCUUAUUCUAUGAUUCUAUUCAACAUUAUUCUUCGUGGCUGCAAACGUCGAAUGUGGGUGAAGUGUGUUUUCGUCUGUGUUUAUUUUAUGACUAUGGAAGUGGUUAGUUAUUUCUUUUCUCUUUUUCUGGAUUUUCUUAUAGUUUUUUUAGUCAGUAUUCAAGCAAGUCCAGCCUGGCAGAGAAACAAUCACAUCGUUUUUCCGAACUCGCUAGAAGAGCAUGAAACUUUCAUUGCUCCAAAGUGUAGCGGUAACAAAACAUUUUGUGAGGACGUCGGACAUUACCCCAAAAAUAAAUUUAGCGUAAUAUUAGAAAACACCACAUACGGGGAAGAUUAUUUCAUGCCGCAAAGCACCGCCGAGGAAGAAUCUAUCAAAAAUCGAUUGUACGGAGUAACUGAAUAUUACAUCUGCAAUUCUCACGUCCAAACGCAAUAUCCCAAAGUGGCGCAAAACGUCAGAAACGAGUGGAAAUAUGUUUACAAUUUUGAUAACUACAAGCAAGGCGUAAGGACAGAAGAAUGUGUAGCUGAAACAGCUUGCAGAUCAUUCCAGGGAACGCCGCGGGAAGUUAGGACGAAGUGUAUGCAAAAGUACAGCGAUAUGUUGCUGUUGGUUGCCGAUGAAUACGGAAAACCUGUGUGGGAUUUAUUCUGGUUUCCUUCCGCCUGUGUCUGUGCAUACGAACCAAUUAUUAAUUUUAACCGAGUUUAGGAGAGUUUGCUGACAACUAAUUUUCCUUAAAUUGCGAUCAAUAGACGUGUCUUUGAAGCUGAAAUGUUAUACCAUUUCCCGGUACAAUAAAACUUUGAUUCUAUACAUUCGUUUUUUUUUUCCACCUUUUCUAAUGAAAUAAAAGUAAACAUGAGUUUUGAUGUCACGGCGACCUGUAAAUUCUUGUGAAAGAAUUUCGUAGUCGAAUACCCUUCGGAGCCGGUCUCCUGCUGUUAGUGAAAAUGAUGGUCAAGGUGGUGGACGGUAAGUAUCAUUAACUCUUAAUCCUUUGCUGUUAGUGUCAGAUGUACCUGUUCAGAAGACAGUACACAACCUUCAGUGGCAGUGGAAGAAAUGUGGGUUUUUGUGUUGGUUUUUGCCGUUUUCAAAGAGGUAGGAAUAUAUCUUGUGAAGCGCUGUGUGAUUAAGCUGUUACAAGUUUGAUUAAUAAAUUGAUUUUUAGUUGGGCAUUCAAGCCAUGUCAUUUAAUCCAGCCAAGAUGGGUAAGUUUAGCAAGCGUUAAUCAGUGUAAACUAAUCUCAGAGAAUAUAACAGAAUAACACAAAGUUUUUUAAUGAAGACACUCUAAUUUUUUCUCUCAUUCGUCUUCUAAUUGUAUGAUCGCAAGGGUUUGACCUUUCCGGAUUCGAGUGAAAUUGGGGGUGAUUUUUUGUACGAGACGGUGGUCCCCAACUGCCAAAAUCACACGUACUGUGAACACUUGGACCGCUACCCUAAAGAACUAUUUUCCAAAAUAUUAAAAAGCCACGAAAAGGAGUUUUCUCGGUACUUUCAGAGUAUGGCAGUAAUAGAGCCCAUUAUAAGUAGGAACCAAGACACUUCCUGUAUUUGUGCAUCACGCAAAAGUAUUAUAUACCCAAAAGCGGCAUAUAAUAUAAAAAAUAAUCUGAAAUUUAUCUACAACUUCGAUGGAUACAAACAAGGAGUGUCCGUAGAGGUCUGCGUGAUGUAAGUUUUUUAAAUUUUAUUGUGAAUAAGGACGGACUUUAGUACGUGUUUUAGAAAAAAUCAAAUGUGCAAAUUUUACGAGAAGGUGAGAAAGUUAAAAACAAGGUGUCGACAAAAGUUCGUCGAAAAAUUGUUACUGACGGCUGAUGAAAAUGGAAGACCGUACGCUGAUAGGUACAGAUUUCCAUCAGCUUGUGUCUGUUCGUACAAGAUAAUUAGCUCUAAUGUGUUUUUUACUUAAAGUUGGGGUAAGUUUCGUAAUUUAAAUUUUGUUUCACCUACUAACUCAUUUUUAGUAACUGCAGAGUAAUACAUUUACUUUGUGGAGAAGUGAACUGAGACGAUUUUAUCCCUGUAAUUAUCGCAGUAUUAGGUGGAAGAAAACGAUAGGUAUUAAUAGUAGAUAUGCUGUGCCGGUUCAGAUUCACUUCGUCUGCGCAUGCGCCAUUUCAGGGAUUCCCCCGACGCAAAAUAUGGGCAUCCCCUGAUGUUGUAGCUAUUUUUAGAUCAUGAUGUCAUGGCUAUUUUUGGAUCAUGACGUCAGGAUAAGAACUGCGCAUGCGUCACUUUGGGGAAUCCCACAUUGAAAAUUAUGUGAAUCCCCUGAUGUUGUAGCUAUUUUUAGAUCAUGAUGUCAUGGCUAUUUUUGGAUCAUGACGUCAGGAUAAGAACUGCGCAUGCGUCACUUUGGGGAAUCCCACAUUGAAAAUUAUGUGAAUCCCCUGAUGUUGUAGUUAUUUUUAGAUCAUGAUGUCAUGGCUAUUUUUGGAUCAUGACGUCAGGAUAAGAAAUGCGCAUGCGUCACUUUGGGGAAUCCCACAUUGAAAAUUAUGUGAAUCCCCUGAUGUUGUAGUUAUUUUUAGAUCAUGAUGUCAUGGCUAUUUUUGAAUCAUGACGUCAGGAUAAGAACUGCGCAUGCGUCACUUUGGGGAAUCCCACAUUGAAAAUUAUGUGAAUCCCCUGAUGUUGUAGCUAUUUUUAGAUGAUGAUGUCAUAGCUAUUUUUGGAUCAUGACGUCAGGAUGGAAAUCUCGUGGGGAAUCACACAUUGAAAAUUAUGGGAUUACCCUGCUGGCAUUGCAAUUUUUGGAUCAUGAUGUCAUGGCUGCAUUUAGAUUAUGACAUCAUAGAUAUUUCCGGAUUGAUGAGUCAUCAGUAUUGUUGUAUCAUGGAAUCCCUGACGUAAUUGCUUUUGUUGAAUUAUGAGAUGAGAUGGUUAUUUUAAGAUCAGUGAGUCACCAACAUCGUAGGACCAUGAUAUCAUGUCUAUUCUUGGAUCGAUGAAUCACCGCUAUUGUUUGUUGCAUAAUAAUAAUACCAUGGUUAUUUUUAGAUCAUGAUGUAAUAAUUCUAAGUAAAACAGCCCCUUACUCUUCACACCUCUUUCCCUCAUUUCUUCUAUAUAAACGAUGUAAUAAGCUUAAAAUUUAAUUCAGUUUAAUCACAUCUCCCGUACUAGUUACAUCAGUAUGAAUUAAAUAACAAAUUAUUAUUUUGUGAAGAAAACGAAAGUAUUCAAGAUGAGCAGUGUUGAAUUUAAAAAUUUAAACAAAGAUGUAGAAAUGGAGUCUUUUGUUAGCACUAAAAGUAUUAAAGUUGAUGAAAAGUUUUGUGUAAAGGCGUUUAAAAAAGUUGCAACAAAAUUUGGAACGAAAGUUAUGGUCGACUGCGAGGGAUUUUCGAGCAUAUUACCACAUCGAUUCACUGACCGUCUCAACGAUGAACAAAAUUGAAUACUGGAAUGAAAAAAUUAAAAGUGGAAAUAUUAAAUUAUUUAUGGUUAGUAAAGGUCCAAUGGGUAAUACAACGAAAAUAGAAUUUUUUGAGGAAUAAUUUUUUAUUUAGUAAAGGUAUAUUGUUUUAGUCUAUUUCAUGUAUAUGUAUA